rnacentral:ncRNA from 1 species
CGACAGGGGAGCCGAAAGGCUGAGAGUGUCCAGGUGGACAGACCCUCGCACCUGAACCAGGUAAUGCUGGCGCAGGGAGUCGAGUC